rnacentral:rRNA from 1 species
UUGUCUCAAAGAUUAAGCCAUGCAUGUCUCAGUACAAGCCAAAUUAAGGUGAAACCGCGAAAGGCUCAUUAAAUCAGUUAUGGUUCCUUAGAUCGUACCCACAUUUACUUGGAUAACUGUGGUAAUUCUAGAGCUAAUACAUGCAAACAGAGUUCCGACCGGAGACGGAAGGAACGCUUUUAUUAGAUCAAAACCAAUCGGUAGCGGGUCUUAACGGGCUCGUUAUCGUACAAUUUGGUGACUCUGAAUAACUUUAUGCUGAUCGCACGGUCUUGCACCGGCGACGUAUCUUUCAAAUGUCUGCCUUAUCAACUUUCGAUGGUAGGUUCUGCGCCUACCAUGGUUGUAACGGGUAACGGGGAAUCAGGGUUCGAUUCCGGAGAGGGAGCCUGAGAAACGGCUACCACAUCCAAGGAAGGCAGCAGGCGCGCAAAUUACCCACUCCCGGCACGGGGAGGUAGUGACGAAAAAUAACGAUACGGGACUCAUCCGAGGCCCCGUAAUCGGAAUGAGUACACUCUAAACCCUUUAACGAGGAUCAAUUGGAGGGCAAGUCUGGUGCCAGCAGCCGCGGUAAUUCCAGCUCCAAUAGCGUAUAUUAAAGUUGUUGCGGUUAAAAAGCUCGUAGUCGAAUUUGUGUUUCGCUCCGUCGGUUCAUCGUUCGCGGUGUUAACUGACGUACAGCGAAACGUCCUGCCGGUGGGCUUAGCUCGCAAUGUGGGCGGCCCAACUUAAUCCUGCCGCGGUGCUCUUCAUUGAGUGUCGAGGUGGGCCGGUACAUUUACUUUGAACAAAUUAGAGUGCUUAAAGCAGGCUAAAAUUUUGCCUGAAUACUGUGUGCAUGGAAUAAUGGAAUAGGACCUCGGUUCUAUUUUGUUGGUUUUCGGAACCCCGAGGUAAUGAUUAAUAGGAACGGAUGGGGGCAUUCGUAUUGCGACGUUAGAGGUGAAAUUCUUGGACCGUCGCAAGACGGACAGAAGCGAAAGCAUUUGCCAAAAACGCUUUCAUUGAUCAAGAACGAAAGUUAGAGGUUCGAAGGCGAUCAGAUACCGCCCUAGUUCUAACCAUAAACGAUGCCAGCUAGCGAUCCGCCGACGUUCCUCCGAUGACUCGGCGGGCAGCUUCCGGGAAACCAAAGCUUUUGGGUUCCGGGGGAAGUAUGGUUGCAAAGCUGAAACUUAAAGGAAUUGACGGAAGGGCACCACCAGGAGUGGAGCCUGCGGCUUAAUUUGACUCAACACGGGAAACCUCACCAGGCCCGGACACCGGAAGGAUUGACAGAUUGAGAGCUCUUUCUUGAUUCGGUGGGUGGUGGUGCAUGGCCGUUCUUAGUUGGUGGAGCGAUUUGUCUGGUUAAUUCCGAUAACGAACGAGACUCUAGCCUGCUAACUAGGCGCUUUUCGACAUCCCAAAGGCCCGCCUGCUCAGUGUGGUUUUACCGCCAUUUCUGUGGUAGUGCGCGGUUUUUACUGUCGGCGUAUAAAUAAAUCUUCUUAGAGGGACAGGCGGCUUCUAGCCGCACGAGAUUGAGUAAUAACAGGUCUGUGAUGCCCUUAGAUGUUCUGGGCCGCACGCGCGCUACACUGAAGGAAUCAGCGUGUCCUCCCUGGCCGAGUGGCCCGGGUAACCCGCUGAACCUCCUUCGUGCUAGGGAUUGGGGCUUGCAAUUGUUCCCCAUGAACGAGGAAUUCCCAGUAAGCGCAAGUCAUAAGCUUGCGUUGAUUACGUCCCUGCCCUUUGUACACACCGCCCGUCGCUACUACCGAUUGAAUGAUUCAGUGAGGUCUUCGGACUGAUACGCGGUGAUAUUUCGGUAUUACCGAUGUUGUUGGAAAGAUGACCAAACUUGAUCAUUU